rnacentral:rRNA from 1 species
UGCGUAGGCGGUUAUGUGUGUCAGAUGUGAAAGCCCAUGGCUCAACCAUGGAACUGCAUUUGAAACUGCAUAACUUGAGUAUCGGAGAGGUAGAUGGAAUUCUAGGUGUAGCGGUGAAAUGCGUAGAUAUCUAGAAGAACACCAGCGGCGAAAGCGAUCUACUGGACGAAUACUGACGCUGAGGCACGAAAGCCGAGGGGAGCGAAGA